rnacentral:tRNA from 1 species
UGGGGCGUCGACAAGCGGUAAGUCACCAGUUUUUGGUACUGGCAUUCCCAGGUUCGAAUCCUGGCGCCCCAGCCA